ACUUUACCCAUGUUUAUAUGUUAAAUUGCACUUGUCUCUCUCUCUAUCUCUGUUAACACAUUUGUGUUUGUUUGAUUAAUUCUUGUGUCUUUCAGCCUGUUUCUGCCUAUCACCAUGAGUGAUUCCUUUAUACUCAGAUUUAUCAUCAAGAUCUCAAUUAUAAGCUUAAGUCUUGAUGACAAUUUGAUGAUCUGCAGGAGCACCACCAUGUAAGGAAGGCCAAGACCUCUCUGGAAUCAGUCAAGGGUGAAAUGGAGUGAGGCAUACAAGGAUAUGUGUGGUUUUAGUCUUGGGAAGGAGGUUGAACAGUGCAAUAUUUCUUCUAUAGGAUUGCAGUGACCAGACAUGCUAUUGUAACUCUCAUGGUCAUGUGCUGGAAUUAGCAGAUAUUCAACAAUUUGGCCAUCUCGCCGACCUAUUGAUAUCAGAAGACCGCAGCAGCUCUGCAAAGCAAGUUGCAAAACAGAAUCCAUGAAACUGGUAGUGACUGGAAACCAAUUGGAAGACUUUGGUCUGUGAUGUAGAGGAAUGGGCAGAGGCAGAAGCAAAGACAACAAACAACAAAAGUGAUAUGGAUGUCUUCGUCAUAUGGCAUGGUAUGUACACUAGACUUCUGUCAGUGUUGAUUCUUUAAAAGUUGACGUAUAAUCCUUGUUAUACAACUUUCUUUUUAUAAAUAUAUUUCAGACUCUGCUGACCCAGCAACAAAGAGGAGGGUGUUCAACAUCAUCCUGCUAGUCAGGAUUCUUCAGGAGAAGCAGAGGAUUCUUGUGGCAGAGAUGGCCAACCACUAUAAAUACCUUUCAACUCAUCCUGGUUCUUUCAAAGAACUUUCCUGCUUAUUUGCUUCUGAAAUGUACUGAUUCGACAUGUGGCCUAAACAAAGAGGGGUUAAAAGGUCUAUGGAUCAUCAUUCUCAGAAAGCAACAAAAUAACUGAGAAAUAAACAACAAUACGAUGGUGCAAUCUAGAGACCUGCAAGGUACCUGCAAGUUUUGGCUGGAGCAGAGAACAUACAUUUUUUUAAA